GUCGCACGAGAAAGUCCGCAAGGAUGAGUAAAGUGGCGUACGGGUGAGUAACACGUGGAUCAUCUACCUUUUAGUGGGGAAUACCCCCGGGAAACUGGGGACAAUACCGCAUAAGCUCGUAAGAGGAAAGCAGCAAUGCGCUGAAAGAGGAGUCCGCGGCUGAUUAGCUAGUUGGUGAGGUAACGGCCCACCAAGGCGAAGAUCGGUAGCCGGCCUGAGAGGGCACACGGCCACACUGGCACUGAAACACGGGCCAGACUCCUACGGGAGGCAGCAGUGGGGAAUCUUGCACAAUGGAGGAAACUCUGAUGCAGCGACGCCGCGUGAGUGAUGAAGCCCCUCGGGGUGUAAAGCUCUUUCGACGGGAAAGAUAAUGACGGUACCCGAAGAAGAAGCUGCGGCUAACUACGUGCCAGCAGCCGCGGUAAUACGUAGGCAGCAAGCGUUGUUCGGAAUUACUGGGCGUAAAGAGUGUGUAGGCGGUGCUCUAAGUCUGUUGUGAAAUCUCCCGGCUUAACUGGGAGGGUGCGGCGGAAACUAGUGUGCUAGAGGGUGGGAGAGGUAAGCGGAAUUCCUGGUGUAGCGGUGAAAUGCGUAGAUAUCAGGAGGAACACCUGUGGUGUAGACAGCUUACUGGACCACUUCUGACGCUGAGACACGAAAGCGUG
rnacentral:rRNA from 1 species